rnacentral:rRNA from 1 species
GACGAACGCUGGCGGCGUGCUUAACACAUGCAAGUCGAACGGAGCACCUUUGAAAGAGACUUCGGUCAAUGGAUGAGACUGCUUAGUGGCGGACGGGUGAGUAACGCGUGAGGAACCUGCCUUUCAGAGGGGGACAACAGUUGGAAACGACUGCUAAUACCGCAUAAUGCUUUUGAGCGGCAUCGCUUGAAAGCCAAAGAUUUAUCGCUGAAAGAUGGUCUCGCGUCUGAUUAGCUAGUUGGUGAGGUAACGGCUCACCAAGGCGACGAUCAGUAGCCGGUCUGAGAGGAUGAACGGCCACAUUGGGACUGAGAUACGGCCCAG